AGAGCCUGAAUCAGUGUGUGUGUUAGUGGAAGCGUCUGGAAAGGCGUGCGAUACAGGGUGACAGCCCCGUACACAAAAAUGCACAUAUUGUGAGCUUGAUGAGUAGGGCGGGACACGUGGUAUCCUGUCUGAAUAUGGGGGGACCAUCCUCCAAGGCUAAAUACUCCUGACUGACCGAUAGUGAACCAGUACCGUGAGGGAAAGGCGAAAAGAACCCCGGCGAGGGGAGUGAAAAAGAACCUGAAACCGUGUACGUACAAGCAGUGGGAGCACGCUUAGGCGUGUGACUGCGUACCUUUUGUAUAAUGGGUCAGCGACUUAUAUUCUGUAGCAAGGUUAACCGAAUAGGGGAGCCGAAGGGAAACCGAGUCUUAACUGGGCGUUAAGUUGCAGGGUAUAGACCCGAAACCCGGUGAUCUAGCCAUGGGCAGGUUGAAGGUUGGGUAACACUAACUGGAGGACCGAACCGACUAAUGUUGAAAAAUUAGCGGAUGACUUGUGGCUGGGGGUGAAAGGCCAAUCAAACCGGGAGAUAGCUGGUUCUCCCCGAAAGCUAUUUAGGUAGCGCCUCGUGAAUUCAUCUCCGGGGGUAGAGCACUGUUUCGGCAAGGGGGUCAUC
rnacentral:rRNA from 1 species